rnacentral:rRNA from 1 species
AUACGAGGGGUCCUAGCGUUGUUCGGAAUCAUUGGGCGUAAAGGGUGUGUAGGUGGCUAUGUAAGUCAGGUGUGAAAGCCCCGGGCUCAACCCGGGAAGUGCAUCUGAUACUGCGUAGCUUGAGUACCGAAGAGGAUAGUGGAAUUCCAGGUGUAGUGGUGAAAUACGUAGAUAUCUGGAGGAACACCGGUGGCGAAGGCGGCUAUCUGGUCGAGUACUGACACUGAGACACGAAAGCAUGGGGAUCAAACAGGAUUAGAUACCCUGGUAGUCCAUGCCGUAAACGAUGGGUACUUGGUGUUGGAGGUAUUGACCCCUUCAGUGCCGAAGCUAACGCGUUAAGUACCCCGCCUGGGGAGUACGGUCGCAAGAUUAAA